rnacentral:rRNA from 1 species
CUUUAUUGGAGAGUUUGAUCCUGGCUCAGGAUGAACGCUGGCGGCGUGCCUAAUACAUGCAAGUCGAGCGAAUGGAUUAAGAGCUUGCUCUUAUGAAGUUAGCGGCGGACGGGUGAGUAACACGUGGGUAACCUGCCCAUAAGACUGGGAUAACUCCGGGAAACCGGGGCUAAUACCGGAUAACAUUUUGAACCACAUGGUUCGAAAUUGAAAGGCGGCUUCGGCUGUCACUUAUGGAUGGACCCGCGUCGCAUU